CGGUAGCACAAUGGUAGUGCGCCUGAUUGUGGCUCAGGUUACGGAGGUUCGAUUCCUCUCCUU
rnacentral:tRNA from 1 species